GAGACAGCAGUAGCCACGGUAAUACAGAGGGUGCGAGCGUUAAUCGGAUUUACUGGGCGUAAAGCGUGCGUAGGCGGCUUUUUAAGUCGGAUGUGAAAUCCCUGAGCUUAACUUAGGAAUUGCAUUCGAUACUGGGAAGCUAGAGUAUGGGAGAGGAUGGUAGAAUUCCAGGUGUAGCGGUGAAAUGCGUAGAGAUCUGGAGGAAUACCGAUGGCGAAGGCAGCCAUCUGGCCUAAUACUGACGCUGAGGUACGAAAGCAUGGGGAGCAAACAGGAUUAGAUACCCCGGUAGUCCCUGUCUCUUAUAC
rnacentral:rRNA from 1 species